UGCUCAACAGCUAGCUUAAACAUCCAUAU
rnacentral:rRNA from 1 species